UUUCCAUAGUACUGAAAAAAAUAAUACAAUCUUAAAGGAACUAGAAACUUUGACUCAAUUCAUUUUCAGACCAAAAAGAUUUGUUUUUUUUUUUGGGACAGUGAUUCAAUACAGCUAUCUUUUCUUAUUUGGGUUGUUUUGUUUUACUACAUUCUUGAAAACAGAAAGAAGUUUUUUUUUUUUCCAAGAACUUGAUACUUGCCAAGAAUGGUUGAUUGUUUAGAUGAUUCAAACAUCACGGAAGCAAGAGAGGAGCUAAUGGUUUCACUUGUUGAUGAUGAAGUAAAACCCAUUUUUAGAAUUGCCCAUUUUCUUAAACCAACAAUACCCUCUACUAAAAAACUCCCUUUUCUCCCUUCAAGAUCCAAAAUUUCUUCUUCUUCUUCUUCACUAAAGGUAAAGUUUAGGGGUGGUUCUUCAUACAUGAAGGAAUGGUCUAAUUGGGUAAGGGAGUUAAAGCCUUUACACCAAGAGUUAUGGAAGAAAGCUGGAGUCUUUGAAGCUAUUAUAGCUUCAACAUUCAAGAUUUAUAGGCACAAUGAUUUGAUUUUUGCUUUAGCUGAGAGAUGGUGUAUUGAGACUACUACAUUCAUUUUUCCAUGGGGAGAAGGGACUGUUUCUUUGGAGGAUAUAGUAGUUUUGGGUGGUUUUUCUGUUUUGGGACAAUGUGUGUCGGAACCUGUCAAGACCAAUGAUUCUGUUGAAGUUGAAAAAAAUCUUUGUGAUGCUUACAAAGUUGUUCAGGCGCGUGAUAAGAAUGUAGCUUACCAUCCCUGGAUGGAACAUUUUGCAGGAGGAGGUGACAAUUUGGAGCAUGUUGCGUUUUUGACCCUUUGGUUGUCAAGGUAUGUGCUUCCUUCUAGAAGUUAUCAGUGUGUUGAAAGAGCUCUUUUCUCUAUUGCAAUUUGUCUGUCUCAAGGAGUUCCAAUAGAACUUGCCCCUACUGUUCUUGCUAGCAUUUAUAGGGAUCUCAACUUGCUUAAACAGUUGAUUGUAGAUUCGUCUAAGAACGCUGAAAAAAGUAGUUAUUCUAGAUGUGUAGAAGAUGUUCGGAUCUUAUCCUUCGCGCUCCGCUUCAUUUUGUUCAGCUAUGGGCUUGGGAGAGAUUUACCAGUUUGCAGCCUAAGCCUAGUACUGUCAUCGACUCCGGGGAGCCAAGGGUAGCUAGAUGGCAUAAGGUGAAAAAGCUAAAUUGUGUGGAUCCUAGGAGCAAAAUAGAUUCUGCAGCAGAACAUUUUCUGUGGCGUCCUUAUGCUGUUGAUAUUGUGAAGAAUUGGGACAUCAACAAAUUUUACAAGGACAGAGAUGAAUAUGUGGUGGUUGGACAAAACAUGGGAAGUGAAAUCUUGAUUUUGGCUCGACUUGUUCGAGCUUCUGAACUAGUUGGAAUGGAUUGUGUUGAACAGUACAAUCCACAUAGAGUGUCAAUGCAAUUCGGAUUUGAUCAAGAUGUGCCCGGUUGUGUGAAUCUUGCUAGUGAUCAUACCCCAAAAAUUGCUUGGACCAAUGCUCUAUAUACCUUCUAGGUUCAUUGAGCCAGAUGUCAGCAGACGAUACUUGGAGUGGUGGAAGGACCAAAAUGUUGCACCUGAGGAUGCAGUUCACCAUGUAGUAAAGGGAAAGCUGUCUAGAACUCAUGAUAAGAUGAACGCCUUUGUAUCCUGUGAAUUUUUGCAGAAUGGUGAUAAGGUUAGAGAAGAUGGUAAGAGACCAGAUUGUGAAACGAGAGUUGUAGAAUCAUCAUCAGAUGAUGACAAUAUACCGAUUUCGGAAUCUUUAUGCAGGAGGAAGCUCAUGAAGAAAGAAAUUACUAUACCUAGCAACCAAAGCCAAGCUUCUUCGACCUCUAAUGUUGCAACUGCCAGAAAAUGGGAGACUCUAACGGAAUCAAAUCCAAUAAGCGAAAACAUUGAGGGUUCAAAUGGAAAGUCAGAUGAAGAUGGAGAUGGGCCAUAUGUAGUUAAGGAAAUGGUGCCUCCUAGUUCAACAGAAAAGCAUACUGACUGUGAAAAUGAUAGAAAUGAGAGUAACAGUAACACAACCCACAAUCUUGUUAUCGUCGAGCAGAAAGGAGACGGAAGAACCAGAUGUGAUGAUCUUAUAAUGGAUAUAGAACUUCGUCUUAGCAGGCUUGAGAGACUAGCUGCUUCACGCAGGAGAUGCUAGACUAAACAUAAGAAGUUGUAACCGAACAUAAUUUCAAAUUCAGACCAGAAAACCGAUGAAAAGCAACAUACCCUACAUUGUGCUUGGACUUUUGUACGCAUAUCUAAUAUACCUCUCUUGGAUACCAGAUACAAUUCGGCUCAUGUUUGCUGGUAAAUACUGGCUUCAUAGGUCUGUGCAUAGCAACAUGAUAAUUUGUACAAAUUGCAUGGUCGGGAUCUUAACAAUUUCUUCCAUUCUGCAGCCUGGUAUAGCUAAGAUGUUCCCAACGAGGUGAUGUUAGCUUCUGCAUGAAUUCAUCUGUUGGCCAUGGAUCUUUUUGCUGCAAUGUCAAUCUCUAGACGUCUAUCUUUGUUGGGCUAUUUUUCUUUGCUUUUUUGUUUGGACAACAUUGAGGAGUGAGGAGGAUACCAUUGUUACACAUCUAACUUGAGUAUUUCACUUGAAACAGGCAGGUUUAUCAUGACGUAUUGGAGAAUGAUAUCGAGACCCGCCAUUCUGUGUCUCUGUGCUUGCUGUUUUGCCCUGUUGGGAUUCUUACUCACUCCAUCGCCAAAGCUCUAACUAGUAGCCCAGAAAAAAGAGAGUGUAGGACUCAUUAACCGAUGGUUUAGGCCUUUUUAUGUUAUCCGUAAACGAUCAGCCAGUGUGUGUAUAGUAAUUAACCUUCAGGUUAUGGAAUUGCUGUUACAGUCUACAUAUCUGAUGCAAAAUCGCAUUCAUGCAAAUUUUUUUUUA